rnacentral:rRNA from 1 species
AGAAUCAACGCUGGCGGCGUGCCUAACACAUGCAAGUCGAACGAGAAAGUGGAGCAAUCCAUGAGUAAAGUGGCGCACGGGUGAGUAACACGUGAUUAACCUACCCUUGAGUGGGGGAUAACCUAGAGAAAUCUGGGCUAAUACCGCAUAAUACCCACGGGUCAAAGCAGCAAUGCGCUUGGAGAGGAGUUCGCGGCCGAUUAGCUAGUUGGCGGGGUAAUGGCCCACCAAGGCGAUGAUCGGUA